rnacentral:rRNA from 1 species
GACGAACGCUGGCGGCGUGCUUAACACAUGCAAGUCGAACGGCAAGGCCCUGCUUGCAGGGUACUCGAGUGGCGAACGGGCGAGUAACACGUGGGUGAUCUGCCCUGCACUUCGGGAUAAGCCUUGGCAACUGGGUCUAAUCCCGGAUAGGAGCCAUUUUUAGUGUGAUUGUUGGAAAGUUUUUUCGGUGUAGGAUGAGCUCGCGGCCUAUCAGCUUGUUGGUGGGGUAAUGGCCUACCAAGGCGGCGACGGGUAGCCGGCCUGAGAGCGUGGACGGCCACAUGGGGACUGAGAUACGGCCCAGACUCCUACGGGAGGCAGCAGUGGGGAAUAUUGCACAAUGGGCGCAAGCCUGAUGCAGCGGCGCCGCGUGGGGGAUGACGGCCUUCGGGUUGUAAACUCCUUUCGCUAGGGACGAAGCUUUUGUGACGGUACCUAGAGAAGAAGCACCGGCUAACUACGUG